UGGGAAACCACAACAGCUAUUGCCAAUUACAGCGGCCCCAAUAGUUAUACAGAAACAAUUUACAAGGUAUACUAAACACACACAACAGACAAUACUUGAACAACAGUCAUUACAUUUGUCUAAAAGCAGCAUGUCAAUGGAGAGUUCAUUAAACUUCGAGCGGAAUUACAUUUUAUACACACACUUUUCCAUGUCCGGGGAUCCUCAACAUCGUAUGUAUUUUCUAAUGCUAAAAUAUAGUACUUAAAAAGAAGAUUCUUGAAUUCUGAAAAUGUUAGGUCUUUGGAUGUAAUAUAAUUGGGUAGUGUGUUCCAUAUUCUUGAUGUUCGGAUUUUGUAAGAUUUUUCAUAGGUUGACGUCUUGUAUGUCGGAAUUUUAUAUUUGUGCGAGUUGGGAUUAAAUGAUCUUGUCUGUCUUUGACCCUGAGGUUGAGGAAAUGGAAGAAUUUUUUUAUCAAUAUUAAAAAUGUCGUGAUUUGCCUUAUAGAAGAAUACUAGAUCCAGGUAUUCGUGCCAGUAGCUGAGAGG
rnacentral:lncRNA from 1 species